rnacentral:rRNA from 1 species
AUUGAACGCUGGCGGCAUGCUUUACACAUGCAAGUCGAACGGUAACAGGGAGCUUGCUCCGCUGACGAGUGGCGAACGGGUGAGUAAUGCGUCGGAACGUGCCGAGUAGUGGGGGAUAACGCAUCGAAAGGUGUGCUAAUACCGCAUACGUACUGAGGUAGAAAGUGGGGGACCUUCGGGCCUCACGCUAUUCGAGCGGCCGACGUCUGAUUAGCUAGUUGGUGAGGUAAAGGCUCACCAAGGCGACGAUCAGUAGCGGGUCUGAGAGGAUGAUCGGCCACACUGGGACUGAGACACGGCCCAGACUCCUACGGGGGGCAGCAGUGGGGAAUUUUGGACAAUGGGCGCAAGCCUGAUCCAGCCAUGCCGCGUGUCUGAAGAAGGCCUUCGGGUUGUAAAGGACUUUUGUCCGGGAGCAAAUGCCUGGUGUUAAUAGCAUCGGGAGCUGAGAGUACCGGAAGAAUAAGCACCGGCUAACUACGUGCCAGCCGCCGCGGUAACAC